rnacentral:rRNA from 1 species
CACGCAGUAAACGAUGAUUACUCGCUGUUUGCGAUAUAUAGUAAGCGGCCAAGCGAAAGCAUUAAGUAAUCCACCUGGGGAGUACGUUCGCAAGAAUGAAACUCAAAGGAAUUGACGGGGGCCCGCACAAGCGGAGGAACAUGUGGUUUAAUUCGAUGAUACGCGAGGAACCUUACCCGGGUUUGAAAUGCAUCUGACGAUAGUGGAAACAUUAUUUCUAGCAAUAGCAGAUGUGUAGGUGC